GUCCAGUCACUGUACAGAACUGGACUAAGUGGACACUGAGAGACCAGUCCAGUCAGUGGGGGGUGAACUGGCCUCAGCCUCAGCAGUGACCGCAGUGACAGUUGAACCGCCCACCCCCGUCAACUAAAACCAAAAAAAAACAAAAAAACAACCCAGUUCUCUUAGCUCAGCAGUGUCACCAGCUUUCAGUUCGCGUUUCUCCCACCCUGCUCGACAGCGGCUCAAAUGGCGACGCUUUACAUAAAGGCUUCUCUCUUCUUCCUCAGCUGCGCUGGAGCGUGGGGCUGCAGUGUCUCUGGAGAAACCGUGCUGAGAGUCGGACUCGGGGACACCGUCACCCUGCCCUGUGACCUCAGACUCCAACACGAGACCACCUGGUUCAUGCUUCGGAACGGGACCCUGUCUGUGGGGGUUUUAGCCAAUAAAAACCCAGGACAAAUCCAGAUGCGCCCCUUCAGCUACGUGAGGAGACCGGACUCUCGCUUCAGCCUGGUGCUGAACCCCUCCACUAACUCCUCCAGUCUGAGGAUUGAGGGGGUCACAGAGACAGACCAGGGGCUGUACUAUUGCGCCACCAGAGACAGAGGAGAGAUUCACAUCGGAAAAGGCACCAGGAUCCAUGUGGGUGAUAGAAAUAGAGGCUGAAUGUCAGAACAUCACCAGACCGUCUGGAAUCGACUGGCCAUGCCUGACCAUCCUGGUCGUGACUCCCCCUCUGUCCACCCUGCUGACAUCAUGCUGCAUCUUCUGUCUCUUUUACAG